GCUACCAAAACGUUAGUGGCGGACGGGUGACGUAACACGUGAGCAACCUACCUCGUGAGAGCGGAAUACGCUCUGGAACGGAUGGUAAUACUAGCAUGACAUUGCGAAACCGCAUGAUUUUGCAAUCAAAAGAAUUCGCUCAGAGAUGGGCUCGCGCCUGAUUAGCUAGAUGGUGAGGUAACGGCUCACCAUGGCGACGAUCAGUAGCCGGACUGAGAGGUUGAACGGCCACAUUGGGACUGAGACACGGCCCAGACUCCUACGGGAGGCAGCAGUGGGGAAUAUUGCACAAUGGGCGAAAGCCUGAUGCAGCGAUGCCGCGUGGAGGAAGAAGGUUUUCGGAUUGUAAACUCCUUUUUCAGGGACGAUAAUGACGGUACCUGAAGAAGAAGCUCCGGCUAACUACGUGCCAGCAGCUGC
rnacentral:rRNA from 1 species